UACGGCCAUAUCACUUUGAAAAACCAGUUCCCGCACGAUCACCGAAGUUAAGCAACGUCGUGUCUAGCAAGUAUCUAGAUGGGCGACAGUUUUGGAAUACCAGGUACU